CUACGAUCGAUGCCUCCUGCCCAUAACAGAUCGGUCUCCACCGCCAACCAGCCCUUCGCACGCCCGAUCCACCCCUUCAUCCCGGCCGGACAUCCAUCACUGUGUCGCGGCCGAUCCUAACCUUUGCCGUCGCCCUCGCACAUCAAAGCCGCCGCACGUCCAUCCUACGAUCUGCUUCAGGAUCGCUUCAGGAGACGGCGCCGCGAUCCCGUUUAGGAGACGCCGGCGAUCACGCCCAGGAUCCGACGGCGAUCCCCUUCUGGACAUGCACAUCCUCUCGUACGCACGACUUGCAUUCAUCCCUGCGCUAAUUUCGUCCCUUCGCCACCGCCGAUCCCUGCGGAGCUUCCCUCCCCAAUCCGAUCUGACGAAGAGAGUGCCAGAUCCGGCCGGGGAGCCGCCGUACAGCCUCCACAUCGGUGGACCAGCACCUCAUGCCACGGGCGCCGCCGCCACCUCCUGCCUCACGACCCUUUGCCGUGACUCCGCCCCCAAGCGCCACUCCCGCAUGCAACCCUAACCCUAUCCCUCCAUGCCUCGCUGCCUCGCCGAUUGAGCCGCGCUGAUGGAGCCCGAGCAGCGGUGGCCGACCCCGUCGCCGCCGCCGAGCCUGUGGACAAGGAGAAGGAGAAGGAGAAGGAGGAGGAGACGGAGGCGGCCGAGGACGAGGAGGACACACUGCUAGACCGCGCGCAGCCUGAUCUCACGGGUCCCUUUGCACAUGUGCAGUUCGUCAAUGGACCAAUGCCUAAUCUCCCCAAGGUUGAUGUUUCACUGGACCCGGUGAAGGAGUUGAGCAGAGUAAUAUCUGAGCGAAAAAAUUGAGGGGCGUGCUUUGGUUGUGCUCUCAGCCAGGUUAUUUUACGAGGGUUGUGUGCACUGAACCCCAUUUCUCUGGACCAAGGGACGAUGAACAAGAUGGGAAUGAGGACGAUGCGACCUAUAGAUGGUUGCUAUGGAUCGGGAGGUUGAUACUGAACAUCAGUUUACUACUAAUCCGGAGUAGUAAUAUUGGAUUACAGGUCAUGGGUUAGUAGUUAACUGCAGAAAUCAGAAUAUUGGAUAGCAGUAACUAAGGCCAUUGGCAAUUUCUAUCAUAUAUCAUUAUUUAUUUGUGUGAUUCCUUUACCAACUACAUGUUUCUAUUUGUUUCCUAUAUUUUGUUUGUUCCUGAAUAUUUUAUGAAUUGUGUAUUUCUAUUUUAAUACAUAAGAGUCUUUUUCAUGCAAUUUACUCAAUGGCCUAUAUAAGAAGCCCUAAAUAAAGCUAUUCCUCAUUUGUACACUUUCUUACUUAUAUAGAUCAAAAUAUGGAAUUCUCUGCAGGUUAACUAAUACAUGCAUCAGCUUUGUAUCAUAAAGAUUUCACCAUCCCAAGGUAAUGGAAAUAAGUUCACAAGAUUCUCAUGUUGAGGUCUGUACAAAGAGAUACAAGGCAAUGUCUGUGUGCUGGAAGGAGAAACUCACUGCCAAAGCUAUAAUCCCUGAUGCUAAAGCCUGCAUGUUCAGAUCUGUAGAGUUUACUCAUAUUACUGUAUGUUAGGUUCUUCACAGCUAGGAGCUUUUAAUCAAUUGUAGUUAUACAGAAAGAUUAAGAUGGAGGGAGUCAUUAAAAAUCAGCAAUUGUUCCAGCCAACCGGUAGUAGUGGGUGCAGCAUUUGAAGACACCAAAAAGAGCCUUGGACUCUGAUGGAUAAUGAUUAAUACAGAGGGAGCCCUUUUGUCAGGUCAUUUAAUCAUUUAAUCAUAGGUACAUUAUCUCAGGUAACUUACUACUACCUUUGUUCGAAAAUAAGUGUCGUUAACUUAGUACACCUUUGCACUAAAAUUGUACUAAAUCCGUGACACUUAUUUUGGGACAGAGGGAGUAUUUCAUUUUCUACCUGAACCAAGUUGUUAUUUCAUUUCUAAGAGGCAAAGAGUUCCUCCUGGUUAGUUUGCCACAUUUUAUAUGUCUAUCUAUGUGCAUUACUUAUUAGUUCCCACUUUUGGCUCACUUUCUUGAUGCAUCUCGUAUGAGAGGAAAGGAAUGCAAAAUCUGACAAGCAAUGUUCGGGCAUACCCUUAUAUUUACGUCUGAUGAAAUGCUGCGGGUGCAAACUAAAAGACUGCUGCCAUGAGCAAAAGUGCAGACAUUACUUAUGAGAAAACAAUAAAAGAAUCUUCCGUGACUACAGACCACAACGAGUCAAAGACAAUGAAAGCACUACUCCAUUGGUGGUGUUAGCAAGUGGAGUCUGGAGGGAGAACAACACAAAGUAGGAAAUUGAUUCCCUCGCCCUCGCUUGCUUCAACGACCCCACCAAGACGGGCGGGGUCGAUUCCCCCAUCGCCCGACUCAUCUCCGACGAGUAUGGCGUCAAUGGGUAUGCCCCGCCGCUUAUAUGCUUGGCGGGUCCCAGAACACCCGUGAUGUGUAUGAGCUUGACUAGGGCGAGGGGCUCGUGCUCGUGCUCGUGCUCGAGCUCGACAAGACACACUUCGAUCUCAUCACCAACAACGAGAUGGACUGUGAGACUCCAGAGCAGGCGGGGAUGAACGAAGACGAAAGUGGGGGCAGUUCGAGCUUGUCGCUCCCGAAGACCCUGGAGAGGUGCACGAAGAGACUUGGUUAGAUUUGUUGGCCACCACUGGUAAACUGCACUAAUAACAAAUCGGAUGUCAUCUCUCAUGUUGCCGAUUCAACCCUGGACGAUGUUGCGCGGCUCGCGGCCAUGGACGAUGUGCUGUUGGACAACGACGUGAGGCCGAGGCAGCCAAUGUGAAUGACCACUGGAAAUCAUUUACCUUUCAAUCUUGGAAGGCCCUAAGCUGAAGGAGAGCAUCAAUUGUCAUGAGAGAUAAGCAAUAUCUAUUAGACACGCAUACUAUCAGGCUAACGCAAACCACUCGGGAAUGAAGUAUACUUAUUGUAACUUUCUAUGUGUUGACUUGAGUUUUCCUGUUAGUAAAAGAAACAUGCCAUUUUUUGCGGUUCAUGGAUUCAUGCUCAAUGUUGAAAUAUUAUCUAAUCUGCAAAAGCUUGAUCAAAGAUUCCACUGUGUGCUUAUUUCUCCAUCA